GAUUCUGUGUAUAGACUGAAAUUUUGGGUAAUUUCUUUCCAAUUUUGAUGGUAUAUACGAGAAUGUAGUUCCCCAAAUUUACUCUUUUACUGGAGUUUCCUUUUAUAAGCAAAGUUCACUGAUACUUUCUACUUGGUAAAGCAAUUUCAGGUAUAUUUAAUGCUGCACUCCCUUCUGCCACACCAGUGAAUUGAGGAGUGGGUACCAUUUCCCCUUGUCUUUACUUAAAUGAGCCAUUGUUUCACUCCGCAAGGACAAUGUAACUUUGCUCACCACAAUAGAUAGAGCAGACAAAUAAUAUACAGUCUAGGGCCUCAACUGCCAACUAGUUUUCCCAGAGAAGUAAGUGGGAACAGGGCUUAGGCUCCAGGAAAUUUUUGCAAAGCCACAAAAACUGAUUCCCGUAUUGCUUCCCAGUUAUUUAUCUAGAGGAAAGCAGUCAUAUACAGGUUAUAAAGGCAUGGACUCUAAAAGGAGAUUUCUUGGACUCAGUUCCAGAUUCUACCAUAUAUGAGAUUAAAAUCCUUGGGACGUUGCUGAACCACUGCUAUCUAUGAAAUCAUGGAGACUAUACUUGUCAGGCACAGUUACCAGCUUUCUAUCACAAGAGAUUACAUUACAUUUCCUGUCAUUUAUGGAAAUAAAUUCAAACACUGAAUAAUAUUCCAUUGUGUACCACAUUUUCAUUAUCAAAUCAUCAAUUGAUGGAUGUCGUGGCUGUUUCCAUUUCCUGGCUAUUUGACUUGCUUCUAAUGUCAAAAAUAAUGAGAUGCCAAUUCCAAGAUUAACAUAUGACUGUGCCUUCUGCCAUGAUCAGACUUUUGAUCUCGCAUUUGCUCACUCCGACGAAGAACUUUCUCAUGUUGUGUCCUAUAGAGAAGUCCACAUCUUCAGAAGGAAAUGCAGGAAGAAGACAAUCUUGUGAGCUAAAAAGUUCCACCCCAGUAUCUGGAACCAACUAAGAGACAAGCCUCUGGGCAGGCCUGGGAGGGAGUACUGUGGUUAAGUUAACCGAGGUGAGAAGAACCAGCCUCAUCGUGAUGGUGCCAUUCCCUGACCUUGUGUCCUGAACCGCUCAAGAAGGAAAGAGGCAGCUGCACACCCAAGCUCAUCGUAAUCUGUUUCCUGACUGCAGAUGUACGUGUAGACAAGUUCCUGCCACCCGCAUUCCUGCCACAGGAGACUGUCCCUUCACACUGUUUGCCAAAAUAAAUGCUUUCUCCCAGAAGUUGCUUUUGUCAGGGUGUUUUAUGAGAGCCACAAGAAAAGGAACUAAAACAUCCUCUUAGACUGAUCCUU